rnacentral:lncRNA from 1 species
GGCAGAACUAAUAUUAUCCAAAUGACAAUACUACCAAAAAGAAAAGUUGAAUUCUACCAGACCUUUAAAGAAGAAAUAUGUUGAAUAGAAAUGGUGAAAGAGGGCAUCCAUGUCUUGUUCCAGUUUUUAGAGAGAAUGCCUUUAAUUUUUCUCCAUUUAGAAUGAUGUUCGCCUGAGGCUUAGCAUAGAUAGCCUUUACACUGUUGAUAUAUGUUCCUGUUAUCCCUAGUUUUUCUAGUGUUUUGAACAUGAUGUUUUUUGUCAAAUGCUUUUUCUGCAUCUAUUGAGAUGAUCAUAUGAUUCUUAUCUUUGAAUCUGUUGAUGUGAAGAAUUGCAUUUAUUGAUUUCCGUUUGUUGAACCAACCUUGCAUCCCUGGGAUGAAUCCCAUUUGAUCAUGGUGCACAAUCUUUUUGAUAUGUUUUUGUAUUCGAUUUGCCAGAAUUUUGAGAAUUUUUGCAUCCACGUUUGUUAAACAUAUUGGUCUAAAGUUUUCUUUCUUUGAUGUAUCUUUGCCUGAUUUUGGGAUCAGGGUGAAAUUGGCCUCAUAGAAUGAGUUUGGAAGUGCUGCCUCUUUUUCUAUUUCCUGAAAUAAAUUGUAGAGUAUUGGUAUUAAUUCUUCUUUAAAGGUCUUGUAGAACUCGGCUGUGUAUCCAUCUGGUCCUGGGCUUUUCUUGGUUGGUAAGGAAAGAGGUGAAAGAUCAAUACAAUGAAAACUACAGAACCCUAAAGAAAGAAAUCAGAGAAAACCUUAGAAGAUGGAAAGAUUACCUUGCUCUUGGAUAGGCAGAACUAAUAUUAUCCAAAUGACCAUA